rnacentral:lncRNA from 1 species
GGGUGAGCUCUGUUAAGUGGCAGCUGUUGUUGCUGCCACUGCCACUGUUGUCCUCACUCCUGUUGGGGAACAUGCCCCACUCCUGUGUCCCACCUCACCCCCCUCACUCACCCACUCCCCGGAGUGUGGGGACUUGUCAUGGCUCCAAUCACUGCAUCUGUGGCUAGAGUGGCUUUUAAAGGCUCAGACUCGAACCACUGAUCCAGCACCUGGACAGCACAACAGCAGAGAGAAGGGCUUAGGAGCCUGGAUGGGAGGAGGGCCCUCUCACUGCCUGGUCGGGCCUGAGGCUGGGGAACCACUCACCUUGGUAAUGGGAGCUGUGAGGACCUCAUAAUAUCGGGGAAGCUGGGCUCCCAGGAUGCGGCCUACAAGAGAAGAUCCACAAAACAGAAGUUGAAACAGGUGACAGGGAAACCCUCCGACCUGGCCUGGGGGAUAAAAGCAUGGAGGAUGCUGAGACUUCCUGCCAGGAGGUGGUAUAGCACAGCCAAUGCAGGGACAGAUCCAGCUUGAGUCCUGGCCACACCUCUCACUAGCUGCAGUGCCUGGGACACAUUUUUAACAUCUCUGAACCUGCUUCUUUACCUGUAAAAUGGGAAUCCUAUUUUACACCCCAAGGGCUACGGUGAGGAUUAAAUGAGCUAGGUAAAGCAUUUGCAAGUUCAUGGGUACUUAAUACAUUUAAGCAGUUAGCAUUAUUUUUGGAAAAUUUUAAACUUGUACCUUAUUCCCUUAUUUCGAACUCUGGAAGGCCCAUAUCCUGGGAGAAGGCUGGCAUGGCUGAUCCAUUCCUAUGACCCUGAUUCAGACCAUUUCAGAAAGAAACUAGGCUUUAAGGCCUUCAGGGUAGAAAUCAUGGUCUCUAGCCUUACAGCCCCUGGGCCUAGCUUAGUGUCUGACACAUAGUAGUUGCUCAAUAAAUGUUUUUUGCCUGUUUUUCACACAGAGCUCCUUGGACUGGUUAUCUGAGAGAGAGGCAGUGUCUACUUUUUGCAUUUGUAAUAGAUUCCACUGGCUCCAUACUCUUUGCAAUGUAUAAGUCUGCAGUGCCUCUCAACCCACCACAACUUGGUUAACCUGCCUGGCUCCUUGGCUCUGGGCUCAUCCAUGUGAUUUGGUCAGCCAGUGGAAUGUUUGCCGAUGUGACACAAACCCAGAACUGAAACAGGCCUGUACAUUGGGGCAUGCCCUCUGUGCUUGUGCCACUGAUGUGAAAAGUCCACACCCAGGUCAGCAUGUGCUUCUACAAGGAGGACGAGAGGUACCUGGAGCAGAGCUGCCUCCACUGAGCUGCUGCAGACACAAACACAUGCCUGAGACCAAACCAGAUCAGCUGAGCCAGCUGGAAUCAGCUGAACCACGAAGACAUGUGGGAAACAAAUGAUUUUUUUUCUAGGAUAUAGAGGUUAAACUGGUCUGUAUACCCUCAAGGAGGGUAGAAAAUAAUAGCACACUUAAUGAGCCUUCCAUUCGCAUACUCAUGGCAGACAUUACUAAUUGAUCACAGAACUUCUCCUUGCUGAGCCCAAAUCUAGCAUUCUUCCUGUAUGGGGGCAGCUCUUCAAAUCUCUUGGCCCCUAUAUCUUAUUCUAGCCACAGCCAUGAUGCUGAGCUCCAAGCAGGCUUUGAUCAGCUUCACACAGGCAACUCCACAGCAACUCACUUCAGUCCUGAAAAGUGAGCCUCUCUACUUCUUCCCUAGGGCUUCUCUGGCACCAGGGCAGGGCACUCAUGGGAACCUACUUGGCACCCACAGAUGCAC